CGUAUUUCCUAUUUCCUUUCCUCUCACCUCUUUCCACCAUGGUAAGGGUUCUGCUAAAAUUUACUUCUGGAUGUAAACACUGGAAAGGCAUUGCAGUGGGACUGGAGAAGGGGUGGAAUUACUCAGAGAUCCUGGACUUGGAGACGUUUGCAGUGACUGACAGGUUCUCAGACGGCCCGUCAGUCCUGGGAACGCCUGACACCCAUCCAACCGAGACGUCCUCUCUCUGCUUGAGCCAGCUGGGCUUCGUUUCCGUUGCUUCUCAGCAAAAGAGCACUGAACUCCGCAUAAGACAGACGACAGAGAGCACAGGCGUGGGCUGAUGUUCUGAGGGCAGGGCUGGGGAGGCGCCACCUGCAUCCAGCCCCCCAGCUACGCUGUUUCCCCACUUGCCCAUCCUUGCUGACCCUUCGGCCACACGUGCACAUGCUGUGUAGGGCGGCCACCACGGGAGAAGUUAUGAGUUGAACUGUGUCCCCCAAAGGAUGCUCAAAUUCUCAUCCCAGGACCGCGUCACGGCAGCCAUGCUUCCUAUUUGCAGAAGGUUCUCGUGCUGGUGAGCAUCACCCACAUAGCACCGCGACUCACUUUCCCUGCUACCUGGACUUCCUCCAGCACGAGUAACACCGGGAAGGACAUUCUUGUCGCCUUUUCUCUCCUUUUGAACAACUUUCUCAAAAUGCGUCACCAGCGGCAGAUGACUGGCUGAGACAGAAGGACUGAUCUGCAGGGGGAUGCUGCGUUUGUCACCGAGGGGCCGCCGGGAGCGAGCUCUGAAUUCUGAGCAGAGAGAAUGAUGUGCCGGUAAGGAGGGGACUCGGGGCCAGGCUGGGUGUGAGAGCCGGGCGGGGAAGUGCUGGCAGCAGGCAGCCCGCAGACUCCACAGGAGCUGCGACUCCAGCCCAACACCGAUGGGGUAAGUUGGCGAGGAAACAGCAGGGUGAGAACUGAACAGGAACAGGACUGACCACCGUGGACGGAAGCCUGGCCUGCAGGGGGUGGGCAGCGAGAGAGGACAGGGCCCGGGUGAGGGGGCCCGCCUGCUCAGCCGAGAGGACCACAGAGGUGAGAUGCCCGGCCGGCAGCGGCCAUCCAAUUCCUCUUUCCUUUCACUGGUUCUGACCACAGUCUAGCCUGGAUUCCUCCUGAGUUAGAAACCAGGCCACACAAUGGGUGGGGGUGGGGUACACUUCCUCCCUGUUCACCGACCCCUGACCACUGGCCACCGUGUGCAGCCCUCCCAGGACACGCUCCCCAACCAUGUCCCAGUCCAAUCCACCAGUGACCCUCUCCACCUGCUGUGUUUCGGGGGACGGGGGGGACAACCAGAGCUCCCCCCUACCUGUUGUCUCUCCUCCACCCCCCGGGGUUCCCUCCUGCUCUCCACAAAACUGAAGUGACACCAAGUGACACACUGAGCCUUCUUCAAGGCUCUGGAAGCCACACUCUUUAAACCCCACCCCUUCUCAUGGCUUCGGUCACCACCAGCACGUGGAGGAGGACUGCCCACCAGCCAGUGUGGCAGCGCAGGACCAGAACCCAGGUCUCUGGAUGCCCGGUCCAUCACUCACGCUCAGCGCCUGACGCUCCUUUUUGAAGGUAGGGCAGUCAGCCCAGCAACCAGAGCCCCAGUAGCUGGCAGUCUGCUGCAUCGCUCUGAACAGUCAGUGCUGUUCAGGGGUUACACAUGGGCCUGGCGGGGGAAUGUCCUACUUGACUGUAGAUCUAGAUUGCUUUCUGCCACUUCCAGGGUGAGUGACUUUGGGCAGUCUACCUGUUUCCACCUGGGCUUUCUGAUCUGUCGAACGACGGUUACAGCAUCCGCCACAGCAUGGAGGUAAGAGAUCAGACGGUAACACAGCAGAGCCCACGGGACAGCGCCGCCACCUGAUCAGCGCUCUGCCUAGCCAGGUCGAGCUCGGCCUGGCUCUGACGUGAGCGCUGGCGGCGGGGAGAUGUCCUCUCUCAGGAAUUUAAAAGUCAUUCCAUGAACUCCCGGCAUGAGUACUUACUGGAGGAGUACCAGGAGGGCAGUGUCUAUCACACUAGAUAAACUCGCCUCUGGUGUUCAGGUGGCCCCAGAGAAGCUCAGACACCCGGGGAGAGUGUUGAAAGGGUUAAGGCAAGCACCCGGAGUCCACCUGUGGUCAGAUCUGCACUGCAGGAAUGCGGGACCCAGACCGCUCAAGGUCAGGGUCCCUGUGAUGGCGCAGAGCCCGCAGCGCACCCUCCCUGGGCCGGGGCGCCCAGCCCACGCCGCAGGAGCGGCUCCUGCCCAAGCCCUCCCCGCCCAGACGCACGCCAACGGCCAGAGCAGGACUCCACACCCCUCUCCAGCGGGGCCUGCGAGACUCACUGUUGGA